UUCGCCUGAAUAACAGUGCAUGGAAUAAUAGAACAAGAUCCUGUUUCUGUUCUGUUGGUUUUUGGAAUACAGGAUAAUGAUUAAGAGGGACAGACGGGGGCAUUCGUAUUGCGGCGCUAGAGGUGAAAUUCUUGGACCGUCGCAAGACGAACUACUGCGAAAGCAUUUGCCAAGAAUGUUUUCAUUGAUCAAGAACGAAAGUUAGAGGUUCGAAGGCGAUCAGAUACCGCCCUAGUUCUAACCAUAAACGAUGCCAACCAGCGAUCCGCCUGAGUUACUCAAAUGACUCGGCGGGCAGCUUCCGGGAAACCAAAGUAUUUGGGUUCCGGGGGAAGUAUGGUUGCAAAGCUGAAACUUAAAGGAAUUGACGGAAGGGCACCACCAGGAGUGGAGCCUGCGGCUUAAUUUGACUCAACACGGGAAAACUUACCCGGCCCGGACACUGGGAGGAUUGACAGAUUGAGAGCUCUUUCUUGAUUCGGUGGAUGGUGGUGCAUGGCCGUUCUUAGUUGGUGGAGCGAUUUGUCUGGUUAAUUCCGAUAACGAACGAGACUCUAGCCUAUUAAAUAGGUGCGUGGUUCUCUGCACCUUGCACCCUUCUUAGAGGGACAAGCGGCUCCUAGCCGCACGAAACAGAGCAAUAACAGGUCUGUGAUGCCCUUAGAUGUCCGGGGCCGCACGCGCGCUACACUGAAGGAAGCAGCGUGUUUUUAUCCCUGUCUGUAAAGACUGGGUAACCCGUGGAACCUCCUUCGUGAUUGGGAUAGGGGCUUGCAAUUGUUCCCCUUGAACGAGGAAUUCCCAGUAAGCGCGAGUCAUAAGCUCGCGUUGAUUACGUCCCUGCCCUUUGUACACACCGCCCGUCGCUACUACCGAUUGAAUGAUUUAGUGAGGUCUUCGGACCGAUACCCGGAGCGGCCUUUCGGUUGCGCCGGUGUGUUGGAAAGAUGACCAAACUUGAUCAUUUAGAGGAAGUAAAGUCGUAACAAGGUUUC
rnacentral:ncRNA from 1 species